CUGUCCCGGAAGUCAUAAAAUAAUGAGCAGUUGGCCACAUUGAAACAGCAGCAGGUCCAAGAGAAUCACAUCACAGAACCCGUCAAACCCAAACCACAAUAUACGUCCCAAUCUUGUUGGCCGUUCCCUCCCCCCGUUUUGUAGGUGGGGGUUCUUUCCCUAUAUAAGGUCCUCUAUUCUCCACACAGAUAGUUUUCAUUCUCUUCCAUCUAUUCCAUUCCCCUUCUCUCCUCUCCCGUUCCAUCUCCGUUGAACUUGUGUUACAGGUACGUAUUCAAUUAUGUUAUCUCCCUUUUGCAUCAAAUGCCACAUUAAUAUCUCUCUCUCUCUCUCUUCUUCAAUAGUUAAUCAUCUCCUCUUCUGGAUUGUCCGAUAAAAAAUUUCGAUGUUUUUUUCUAAAGAUUUUCUACCUUUUUUUUAUGAAAUCUCAGUGUUUGUUCUUGCGUUUAAUGGCGUUGAUUCAUUCACCGCUUAUCUGUUUGGUUCUUUAGCGAGUCACAAGAAAGAGAACUAAAUCUUGUUGCGUCAUAGUAUGAAUUUCCUCUUUAGCUUAAUUCUCACUUUUUCUUUGUACAGACUUCGGUUUUUGAUACUUUUGCGUCAUAUUUAAUUUUUCUUCCAUCGCAUAAUUUAGUACAGCUUGUUGAUCGUAAUCAUAUUUUAAUUGCUUUUUCGUUUUUCUAUUGGAAUUUUCAGAUCAUAAAAAUACAUGUCACGUAUAAUCACGAUCCAGCAUUGAGGAAAAGCCGUUGCUUGUUUUCUCAGGUGCGCUAUGCUGUUUCUUUUGAGCUGAAAUCUAGGCUUCAGUUAGUCUUUUGUCCUAAAAUUACUUUUGGCUCACAAAGCGUUAUUUUGCCAAGUUGUUGGAGUCCCAUUCCUUUUUCGCCGAUGUCUAGAGACCAGAAGCAUCUUAAGUUAAACUUUUUAAAUAACGUUGUUAAUAAGUUUUGCUUAGUCGAAUCUGUGGUGGCUCCAUAUUUGUUAGGGCAUGUACACUUUAAUUUUCUUUGUUUAUUUGCAUCGUCCUUUUGGUUCAUCACACUAGUUCAAAGAAAACCAACAACAACAACAAUAAACUAAGUAAUUUUCUACAAGUGGGAUCUGGGGAGGGUAAGAAAUACCCAAUCUUACCCCAAUAAGAUAAAAAUAAGAACGAAACCAAGAAAAUAGAUAAACUACACGUAGUAAUAUCAAUCUAUCAAUAAAAGGAUAUCAUACUAACGCUAAUGCUAGCGAAUUGAGUAAGACCUAGAGAAACGCUCGACUACCUACUAGCCUUCUACCCUAAUCUUCGACGUCCACACUCUCCUAUCUAGGUCAUGUCCUCAGUCAGCUCCAGCUCCGCCAUAUCCCGCCUAAUCACCUCUCCCCAAGGCUCCUUAGGCCUACAUUUACCCCUCUUAAUACCCAUCAUGGCUAAUCUUUCCCACCAUCUAACUAGGGCUUCUAUGCUUUUCCUUUUAACAUGCCCGAACCGUCUCAACCUCGCCUCUCGCAUCUUAUCCUCCACAUGGGUCACUCCCACCUUAUUCCGAUUAACUUCAUUCCUAAUCUCAUCUAACCUGGUAUGCCCACACAUCCACCUUAACAUCCUCAUCUCAGCUACUUUCAUCUUCUGGACAUGAGAGUUUUUGACAGGCCAUCACUUUUCUCCAUACAACAUAGUCGGUCUAAUUACUACCUUGUAGAACUUACCUUUAAGUCUCAGUGGUACAUUCUUAUCACAUAAGACACUGGAAGCAAACCUCCACUUCAUCCAUCCUGCUCCAAUACGAUGUGUGACAUCCUCAUCAAUCUCUCUAUUACCUUGUAUUAUCGAUCCAAGGUACUUGAAACUUUCUCUCCUUGGGAUGACUUGUGUAUCAAGCCUCACACCUAUGUCCGCUUUCUAAAUAACUUCGUUGAACUUGUACUCUAAAUGCUCCAUCUUGGUCCUGCUCAGCUUAAACUCUUAGACUCAAGAGUCUGUCUCCAAACCUCCAGUCUGUCGUCAACACCUCCUCGUGUCUCGUCAAUCAGAACUAUAUCAUCCGUAAAUAACAUACACCAUGACACCUCCUGUCGAAUGUGUCGCUCAAUGUGUCCAUCGCCAAAGAAAACAAAAAAAGGCUAAGAGUUGAUCCCUGAUGCAACCCCAUCAUAAUCGGAAAGUGUUCUGAGUCUCCUCCCGCUAUCCUCACCCAUGACUUAGCUCCAUCAUACAUUUCCUUAAUUACUCUAAUAUAGGCUAUAGGCACACCUUUAACCUCUAAACACCUCCAUAGAACCUCUCUUGGGACUUUGUCGUAUGCUUUCUCUCAGUUUAUGAACACCAUAUGCAAGUCCUUCUUCAUUGUCCUAUACUGCUCCACCAAUCUCCUUACCAAAUAAAUUGCUUCUGUAGUCGAAUGAUCUGGCAUGAACCGAACUUGUUCUCGAAAAUAUACACACUCUUCUUCAUCCUCCCUUCCACCACCCUCUCCCAAACUUUCAUCGUAUGACUUAGCAGUUUGAUACCUCUAUAGUUAUUGCAAUUCUGGAUAUCACCCUUAUUCUUGUGCAACAGAAUCACCGUACUCCACCUUCAUUCUUCAGGCAUCCGCUUUGUUCUAAAAUUGAUGUUGAACAACCUACAGAGUUAUUCUAAGCAUGUCUUACCCGCGCUCUUCCAGAAUUCUACCGGGAUCUCGUAUGGUCUGGUCGCUCUACCCUUGCUCAUCCUACGCAUCGUCCCCUCGACCUCCCCCACACUUAUGCGACUACAGUACCCAAAGUCCCGAUGAAUCUCGACGUACUCCAGAUCACCCAACACAUAUCCCUAUCCCCCAUCAUUCAAGAGUUUACAGAAGUAUGAUUGUCACCUCCGUCUAAUCUGAGCCUCAUCUAUCAGCACUCUACCCUCCUCGUCUUUUAUGUACUUUACUUGAUCUAGAUCAGCGGCCUUCCUUUUUCUCACUUUGGCCAGCCUGUACAGCUUCUUAUCCCCGCUUAUCUCCCCAAGCUCGUCAUACAAACGUCCAAACAUUGCAGUCCUAGCCACAGUGAUCGCUAACUUUGUCUCCUUUUUAGCCUUCUUAUACCACUCUCUGUUGGUCCUCUUCUCCACCUCGUUUAUGCUCUCUUCUAGAUUUUAUAUUAAAUUUUUUAAUUAUUCCCAUUGCUAACACAAAUAUUCUUAUUCAUAUUUAAUAUCGCCACUCAAACAAUACAUAAAGUUAUACAUGUAUUUUCUUUUUUCUUAUAGCACCAACCAAAUGCUUCAUAAGUUAUCCAGUAAUUACUUGUAGCUUCUUCAAGGAGCUGGUCUUGGAUGUUAAAGGUAAGUUAAAGGACAAUACCUAGUUUGAAAUACAAGUUGUAGUUUUCAAAGAAUAGGUAACUUAACCUUUUGAAAUAUCUUUCGAAAUUCAAACUCUAAUUAACUUGUUUGUCGUUCUACAUAGAUGUAUUUAUUGAGGGAAAAACUCCUCAAUAAGAAUAUGCAAGUAGUUAGAUUCGUUAGCUUCCAAGAAUUUCAUGUCAACAACAACAACAACAACAAACUCAGUGUAAUUCCACAAGUGGGGUCUGAAAAAGGUAGAGUGUAGACCUUACCCCUACCUUAAGAAGGUAGAGAAACUGUUUCCGGUAGACCCUCAGCUCAAGAAUGAUAGAGAGGAAGGAGUAACAGCAAGCAACAACACCAGCAAACCAAUCAUAAAACCGAAGCGAAAGAAAUAAUAAAUAAUAACAAAAAUCUAAUAAUAUGAAAAUACAAGACUAACACUAAGGAAUGUAUUAGAACUACUGGAACGAGCAAGGACAACGCACUACUACCUAGCCAUCUAUUUUAACUAGUUACUAGUACGCGCGUUGCGCUUGUACCUUGUCUAAAUGAGUAAAAAAAUAUUUUGAAAAAGAAAAAAUCAUCUGUCAAUAUAUAAAGAUUAAACUAUACUAAUUUAUCACAAUUAAGUGACAAAAAAGUUAAAAAUAUAUAUAUUAAUUAACUAUGAUUCAGUAAUACUAUUAAAUACAAAGACAAAUAUCAUAAAUAUAAUAUGUGUUCUAAUAUUAUAAAGCAUAUUAUUUUUAUGCUUAGUUACCAGAUUUUAUAGUAACUACGUAAAAGGAAGUUCUUGUAUACAUAGACUAACGUAGAAUAUAUGAAUAAUACUGUUUUAAAACAAAAGGGAUCCUUUUCUUAUUUGAGGUAAAUUAUCAAGUGAAUUUAAACUUCUAAAUAUUAGGAUCUAAUUCAAUAAGGAAAGAUAUAAUAAUUAAAAUUUAGUUGAUUUUAAAUUCUUAAAUAUUAGGAAAAUAAUUUAAAUGACAAUUUUGUCUAGUGUGAAAUCUAAUUUUAAAGGGUAAAAAAAGCGAAUGACAUUUCGCUAAGGCCUUCGUGCUUUUAAUAUAGUAUAGAUUAUCAUCUUCCACACCUUCUUAUCCAGGGUUAUGUCCUUGGUAAGCUGGAGAAUCGACAUGUCUUUUAAUAACUUCUCCCCAAUAUUUCUUCGACCUGCCUCUAUCUCUCCUUAUAGGCCCUUCAAUACCAACUUCUCAUACCUCCUUACUGAGGCAUUUGUGGCUCUCCAUUUUACAUGCCCGAACCAUCUGAGCCUCGCGUCCCGCAUGUUGUCCUCUACAAGGGUCAUGCCCACCAUGUCACGAAUAACUUUAUUCCUAAUUUUAUCUAACCCGGUAUGCCCGCAUAUCCAUCUCAACAUCUUCAUUUCUGCUACCUUCAUCUUUUGGACAUGUGAGUUCUUGAUUGGCUAACACUCAGCCCCAUAUAAUAGUUGGUCUAACCGCCACUCUAUAGAACCUACCUUUAAUUUUUGGUGGUAUAUUCUUAAUACACAAAAUACCUGAAGCGAGUUUUUGUUAUAUCCAUCCCGCCUUAAUACGAUGUGUGACGUCCUCGUCAAUCUGCCCAUUUCUUUGUAUAACUAACCUAAGCUACUUGAAACUUUCUCUCCUAGGGAUGACUUAUGAAUCAAUCCUCACAGCUUCGUCCAUUUCCUGAAUCGCUCUACUUAACUUGCACUCCAAACAUUAUAUCUUGGUCCUUCUCAACUUGAAACCUUUAAACUCCAGGGUCUGCCUCCAAACCUCUAACCUCGCGUUCGAGUGAUGAAUCACUACUUAAGUUUUUUUGAACCCACUUUACUUAACAUGGAAGAAACAUGUCACUACUCUUAAGCUGGCUCCUUUCCUCAUUUGAUGAUAAUAAUUCGUUGUGUAGAUUGUGGGUUGUGUGAGUGUUUACCUCUCAAUCUUGUAUGAGCUAUGCUAAUGCAACUCGGGAUACAAUUGCAAAACACCAAAAGUGUAACCUCUUCCAUGGUGGAUUACCUGCAAAAAUGGACAUACAAUUAUAACCUUGCUGCAGCUACUCAACCAGUCUCUGAUGGAGGUUUGAUUCUCUACAUUUUUAGAGGUUUAUACCCUUAUUAUGAUGGAUUAGUCGCGUCCGCCACUUUGACCGUGUCUCUGUAUUGGGAAAAUCGAGUUUACAUAUUAAAGUAAUUGGAAGAUGACGUGUCAUGACACGAAGGCUGGUCAAAGAGUGAUGAUUGACAAAGAGGCACGAGUUGCAAUAGAUACGAGCAGAAGGUACAAAUAGAGGCACGAGCAGUUAUUCAAAAUAUUCAACGCUCGUACCUAUUUAUACUCAAAAGUCAAGGAGAAUGAAUCUAACAGCAUAAGAGAGUACAGAUACAAUAUUUAAUAAGCAGUAAAUACUUAAAACAUUAUAGAAUAUAAAUUACAAUGAUUAUGUAACGUAGGAGGAGGAUGUGGUUAAGGUACACAUAUAGGGAAUGCCUCCCACCGCCAAAUAUUCACUACCGCCUCCCGCACUCCUCCUUUAACCAACCUAUUUUUCUCAAGCAAGUAAGAUUGCAAAUUAAAGACAUGCUAUGCAAGAGGAAUAUAUUGCAUUCAUUUUGUAAUGCUUUCAUCUAACUUGUACUUUGGUACCUUCCUCGGGUGCUAAACACCUUGUUGGGUGUAGGUGAUCACUUCAAGUUGAAACUCAAUGUCGAUGGUUCCAUUGAAAGCUACAGAGCGAGAGUUGCAUCAAAGGAUUUCAAUCAAGAAGUUGGACUAGACUGUCAGGUCACAUUUAGUGUUGUUAAACCUACCACAAUAAGAAUUGUCCUCACUUUUUUAAAAAAAAUGAAGAAGGGUCCAUACGGAAUCAUUGACGAGACGAAAAAACUGGUUGGGGGGUACUAACUUGUGGUCUAAUCUAUAACAAUGUGGGGACUUAUGAAAGGAGCAAAGGAAGAUCAUGGCAGGUGAGGCUAGAAGAGACGCAAUUACCAAAAUCAGUAGGGAAGGAAACUUCGGGUUAAGACAAAUUUUGGAGCUAUCUUUCCAUGGUUUAAGGAGGCAUCAAUGAAAUGUGUUUAAAUAUGAUAUUAUGAUGAUGGAAAGUGAGUCGUGAAGAGGAUAUAAAUAGAAAAAAUUGAGAGAUUAAAGAAAUUUAGAGAUACAAGUUAUGAUCCAUAGCCCUACGGUGCUGAUUCAAUUACAAAAGUAUUAUAACGCAAGAUGUGUGUAAGGCACAUGUCAUGAGUUUGAGUUUGAAUGAAGGAUGAUGUUUGGUGUUUAAGUGAAGAAGGAUAGAAAAAGAGGGAGGCAGCUAAACUAGGUAAAAGAGAGACGAACACGUUUCUUAUCUCAAUUGGGUGAGAAGGAAUUUUGUUUAAAUUUCUCCUACUCAACUAGUAUCACCCAUUUGUCCCAAUUCAUGUGAGGGUGGUUGACAGGACACAACAAAGUUUAAAAGACAAAAAUGAUUUCUAAAACUUUUAGUCUAAAUAAAGAGAUAAAAAAAUUUGUAGCUAAAAGCAAUAUUCUAAAAGGCAGGGACGUGAGGCGAUGCGUUUUACCUCUGACGAGGCGAGGCGUAAGUUCUGAGACAUGGGGCGUAAGUCCCACGGAUCUUUAAAUUUUAUUAAUUUUAAGAUAGUAUAAAAUAAAAAAACAAUUAUAAAAUUACAUUAAAAUCACAAAAAUAUAACAAAUAAUAUAUUUAAAAUAUUUAUGAAUUAUAAUUCAACUAUGAAUAAUAUGAAAAGUAUGACAUAUAUCACAAUAUGCAGAUUAGCUGCAACGUCGUUACAACUCAAAUGUAUUCGAUAUGAAAUCUCAUAUGUAUCUCUCAAGGAGUAAUGAAUCUUGAAAGAAUUUCGAUAUUAUAAUUUGAUAUUUUUUUUUUUUAAAAAAAUACUCCGUUUAUUAAAUAUGCUUUCUAUUUGAAAGAGAAUUUAUGUAAAAACAUAAUUCACAAUUUAAAUACGAUUCUCUAGCAUCCUUUAUUUUUAAGUUUCAACAAGUUAAUAAAGUGACACAUAAUUCAUCAUAUAAUAGCGUGAUAACUAAUUAUUUGUAAAUAGUUACUAGCUAAUACUGAGAUAUUAAAAUAAUAAGUAUUGUAUCUCGUAAACGUGAAAAAAAUAAUAUUUAGUAAAAUAAUUAUAAAAAAUUAUGGACUAUUAUAUAAUAAAGACAUAACAAAAGUUAAUAAAUAAAUACUUUUUAAAUGAAAGAUUUAUUUAAAAUUUACUAUNNNNNNNNNNNNNNNNNNNNNNNNNUUUUAAAAUAAAGGCUAAAAGUUAUCUCGUUAAGAGUAAAAUGAGAAACGUAAAGUUAAUUAUUUUUUCUAGACGUACUGAUGGAGUACUAAUUUGUAAACUAUAGUAGAAGGAGGUGAGCGAUCAAUUUCUGCUCGGCCAAGAAAUUGAAGCUGCUAAAUGUUUCACGUAAUAUGUAACACUUACAUACAAUUGGUCUUUAAUUGACUUGAUUUCAUAUUUUUUAUGCUAUCCGUGGAAAACAACUCAAAUAAAAAAUAAGAUGAAUUAUGUUAAUAUGCUAUUUUAAAAAAUAUACACUUUAUUUUGUUUUAUUUUCUGUUUUAGCAGUCUAUAUUUAUAAUUACGAUUUUUUGAGUAAAUUGUUAAAUGUAUAUAUAAAAAAAAUUAGAUUCAAAUAAAAUUAAUACUCACCAGAUAGUCACAGACUCACAGUAAAACAGCAGCAGAUCCCGAGAGCUUUAGUGAAUUUUUUUUCAUUAUUUUCGAAAAAAUUUACUUUUUUUUUUUAAAUCAAUGUUUGGCCAUAAAAUUUUUAAUUUUUCACUUGAAGAUGAAUUUUGAAAUUUUUCGAAAACUUCAAAAAGUUGUUUUUCAAAUUUUUCAUUCAGAUCACUCAUAAAAAUUAAAAAACAAUCUAAAAUUAUAUUUAUGUCCAAACACAACUCUAAUUUUCAAAUACCAUUUCCAUUUGGAAAAAAAAAUUUACAAUUAAUUCUUAUGUCCAAACGCCCUCUCCGAGAAGCACAAGAACAUGGUUUUCUCAAUAAAAUAAUCACCAGUUGGGCCACCGUGAAAUAAACAGCAGCAGUCCCCAGAGAAUCAAAACCAGUUUCCUGAAUGAAAAUACCCAAACCAAAUAUAGUGGGGGCACCCCCUACCCACCCCCAAUUUCUCAUCUCAAGCCCCUGCCCCACUCUCUACUCCGGGUUCACGCAGAUAUUUUUCAUUGUUCUCUCCUCUCUUUCCGUUUCCAUAAACUUAUCUGGUAGGUAUCUAUUCUCCCGUUUCUCUUUCUGCUGAAAACGCCAUUGAAAUGACUCUUAUUUUUCUUUCAAUUCUCAGUGCAUCUUCAUUCAUCUUCUCCUCAAAUUGUCCGAUUAACUUUUCGAUCACUCACAACACUAUGAAAUUGCAAUCAUUUUGGCCAUUAAUGGCGGCGGUUCAUUCACUUCUUUUCUGUUUUGUUCCUAAGAAAGAUAGAAAAAAAUCUUUUUUUAAUAUCAUAUGCUAAACGCAUUUUCACCUUUGCUUAUAGACUGGUUGCGUUUUGCGACACUUUUGCUAUAUACAUUUCAUGUUUUUUUUUCAUCAUAUAAUUUUGUUCAACUUGCUGAUCGGAAUCAUUUUUCGUUUUGCUUUUUCAUCUGGAACUUCUUUCAGAUCAUCAAGUUUUCGAAUGAUACGAUAUGUAAUCACUCCCAGCCAUUGCGAACAUGCCGUUGCUUGGUUUUUCAGGUGGGCAAUGCUGUUUCUUUCAUAUUUAUUUCGUAUUUAAAUUAAAUAUACGUUUCAAUUAGUUUCUUCUUUCUUCUUUGCAAUUUAUUUUGGUUCAUAAAGUUUUUCCUUGCCGAGUUAUUGAAGUUUCGUUUCUUUACGAGGUCCAUAAGCAUCUUAUGUUGGUUUUAAUGUCACAUUUGAUGUACUGUUGCUGAUUAAUUUCGCUUUGGAAUUUCAUAAAAAGAAGGGAUUUUAACACAAAUAGCCAAAGAUUCACUGUUUACUUUUUCUAGUUGGUAUACAUAGAUUAUACAGUAAUUAUACACAGUUAUGCACAUAUGAUACAUGAAUUAUACAUAUAUUCUAUAUCUGUCUGGCUAGUUUUAGUUUAAGCGAUUAGGUGGAGGCUAUUUGGGUUAAUUCUUCUAAAAAGAAUCACUUUACUGUUUCUCGGUCGAAUCUGUGGUGGCUCCAUAUUUGUUAUUGCAUGUACCCUUGUUUUUUGGUUUCUGCUGCAUUUUCUUUUUUGGCACUAAUUCAUCCCAAGAAAUAAUACUAGUAGUUACUUUUACCUUAUGGCAUGUGAAAUAUGCUUCCGACCUCUGUGAUAUACUCUUAGUGCUGCUGUCUUAUGGCUUCUCCUGGGAAUUGUGUUAUGAUCUGCAUUCCAUUUUGCCUUCCUGUUAAUGUUGACAUAAAUUUUGGUGUUAUUGAUCUAAAGUGUAUCCACGCCACAUCAUUUAAAAUACAGAUAGCUAAACACUAUCAACAAGAAAUUGACCAUUUUACCAGUAUAAUGGCCUACAGUAGAAGUUGAACUGAAAUACCACUUGGCAAUCUAAAUAAAAUCUAGUAACACCAUGUUAAUUUUUACCCAUUACUCUAGGAAAAUAAUGUUUAACAUUAACUAGCUUUGUUCCUCUAGAAUUGUUUAGAGAUCAUAUUCAAAGCGAUUUUCCUCGUGAAAUGGCUUGGCAACCUACUUUUUUGUAUUUAAACACAUGUUCUAACAUAAAUUAAGGUUCUUAAAAAAAAAAUUAGGGUUUUCAUUUUACAUUUCAAUGAGAGACCAAUAAACUCAUAUUCCCUCCGUUCCAAUUUUAUUUUCUUUUUAGUCAUUCCAAAAAGACUGACCUCUUUCUAAAUUAAAUGUGACUUCUCAUUUUUACCCUUUUUGAGAAGCUUAUGUUGCCACAAAAAUGCUCCGGCAUAUUUAAGAUCAAAAGUUUCAAAAGUAUUAUAGCCACACAAAUGUUAUGACAUAUUUACGAUCGGAAGUUUCAAAAAUCGUCUUUUCUUUCUUAAGCUAUGUGGUUGAAAAGGAGGAAGUAUUUGACAUGAGCCUACAAAAACAGAAGUGAGUAGUUGAGGAGCAUAUGAGAGAAUUGAGCAGGGCAAAUGAAAAAGUUUAAAGAGAGCAAAGUAUUUAGAAUGCAAUAUAUUAUGAUCCAAAAAGUAUAAGUUGUUAAUUCUAAUUAUAAAAAUAUAAGUUAUGGAUCCAUGUGGGAUUCAUAGGGAUGGCUAAUAGGAGAAGUAAGAGAUAGAUAGAGCGGGGUGAGAGGAGUGAAUGCCUAAGUAUAAGGGCCAUUAUCAAGGUGGGGUUAAAGGAAAGAUGUGUGAUUAGUGUGCUCGCAAGAAAUGAAAACGAAAAAAUACCAGAGUCAAUUAUCAUAAGUGUGUGAAAACAUAAGAGUGAGAAGUGAAAUGAUAUGCUUAGGAGGAGAUAAGAAGGGAUUGUGGUGUUAUAAGACAUGUCGAUGUUGAAGUUUCAAGAUGUGAGGAAGGAGAUUCCACAAUUAUUGUAAUCUUUGAAAGUGUGGAUAGUUCAGUCGAGUGAGAUUGAUGGGUCGGCAAGUGAGGGGUCAAAAUGGAGUUUUGAGAGGAGAUCUCAUUGGUGAUGCUAGGAUGGGGUAAUGCGAGAUAGAUCGGGAUUUCAGUGCAAUAAGACUCCUGAAGGAAAGAGAGGAAUGUGAGGCCAGCGUUUAAAUCCCAACAUAGGCAAAAAUAGUAGGUGAUUAUUCUCCUAUACAUGUGCUUAUAGGAGAUGACGGAAUGGCAGUUACCUGAUGGAUUAGUCGAGUGCAUGCGAACUGGCUUGAACCUUGAUGUUUUAAACGGAAAGAAAGAGAUGGUAUGACGAUCCUUUGGGCAAUGGGAAAUUCACGAUGGUAAUCAACUCUCCCAUUUUUUGAUAGGUCCACAACUGAAAAGUCAAUCAAGGCUCGACAAGUUUCUCAUCCAACCGUAUGGGAGGGGAUGUUGCUAAUAUUUAUCCAAAUUGCUUCUUCUCUAAUAUUAAACCCUAUACUGAUUUUGUAGAUUGUAGCAGAAUAAGGAGUACCCUUCCUAACAAUUAGAAGCGGCCAGUGCUGGAUGGAUGGAGGGAGUACCAUAUGCAAAGGGUUCCUCUUUUUCUCCGGCGAAGAAGUUGAAGCGGCUAACAAAUUAUUUAAGAUGGACUGGAGAAGUACUUUAGAGGAUAAAAAUAUAACAAGGGAACUGAUGAAUGAAUUUGGACAAUUGGAGAGGAAAGAGAGAGGGUGCUUAUUAAGAGGGAAAAAUUAGGAAAUAUGAGGUAAAAGAGUAAUUAGCUAAGAUGACAGUCACUCAAGCAUCAAAAGGAGAUAAAAUUUGAGGAUAUUGUGGUUGAAGAAGGGUGAUUGCAACAUAAAUUCUUUUUAUCUGUUAGCAAUUGCUAGUCGGAGAAGGAAUUUUAUGGACACAAUAAAGGUGAAAUAGGUAGAACAUGGAGAAAAAGGAAGUAAGAGGAGUUAUUGAGUGAAGAUAAUGUGGGCAUAAAACUCUAAAUUAAAGAGAGUGGAUUUUAGCAACAUAGGGAGAGAAGAAGCAAUCAGUUUGAGAGGGAGUUCUUACUGUUAGACGUUUGGGGGGCUGUUGUUACUGUUCAUGGAAGUGCUCAUCAAAGCUACAAAUAGAGUUGUGAUUGGGGGUUAUCUAAGAUCCUUGUAGCUAGCAUGGAAGGCUGGACCAAUGUAGGGAUGUUUCAUCUUCUCUUGCAGACAGUACUCUUGCAUAUUGACCCCGAGGCGCAUCAACUCGCUACUUGAAAAGCACAUAAUUAUCUAGGUAGCUUUGAGUCUGAAGAUAGACAUGAAGGCGUUGAGAUAAGUCUAGUGGGUAAAGAAGAUAACAUAGAGCAACUAAAUGAGAUCCUAUUGUAUGGUUGGUUCCCCUUCUGUCAAACUACCUGGGACUAAAUGCAGCUUAUUAUCUAGUUCUUAUAGCCUUUCUAUGGGGUAAAUGGUAAAGUUACAUGGGUAUUGCAUGGUAUUCUUUCUCCUUAUCUUUAUAGGAUUAGAGCUUUGAUUUGAUGUGCUUUUUUUUCUUUUUCAUUGGACAGUUCUUUUUGGUCCUGAUUAUGUUGAACUGUCAUAUUUUCCUAUCGUUAAACAUAGUCUUAUUUUGAAAUGGAUUUCUACCAUACAUUUGGUGGCUAGUGGGCUGUAUUAGCAUUUUGGUAAAUGACAAGGCAGUUAGUAUUUAGUCCUAUUUGAGCUGGUCUGGAUUCCAUUCCAUAGAUAGUCCUGGAUGUGAUGCAAAAUCUUUAGUGCAUUCGUUUACUCAUAUCCUUGAAUAAAGUUCAUCAUACAGGUUACUAGUGAUUUUAAUUGAAUAAUUCCUCUGUUAUAGAGUACAACGGCUAAAGUACCUAAUUUUUGGUGUGGAUUUAACCAUAGGUUCUUCAAGUUUUUGAAAUAAAAUUUACAUAGUUGGAAACUACAUAAAAGGCACUAUAGGUCACAAAAGUUAAUAAUUCAAAAUAUUUGAAAGGUUUAAAAAAAGGGGGUUGUGGUCAAAGAACUCCCAGAAUAUGAAAAGUGGCCUUUUUUCCCCAAAAAAAGAAAAAGAAAAAGAAAAAUGUGAUAGAGGAAGUAAUAGGUUUUAGAGGGAUAGAAGAAAUAAAUUAGAUACAUUUUUUACUGAUAUAAUUCAGUUACAGUUGCUUUGUUUAAUGCAACAAAAGAUGACUUUUUACCACAUCUUCAAUACAAUAGAUUUCCAUGCCUUAAUUGUGAAAAUAUGAUUCAAGAAUAAAUAAAAUGGUUAUGAUAGACAUCAAGAUGACAAGAUCAUAAUGCUAUUGCUAUACAUUGUUUGUUUCUAUGCUUUUGAAUAAAUGUGUGUGCAUCAAUGCAUGGGUGGAGCUAUGGUGGUGGAAGGGGGUUCCCUUCACCGGAAAAUUACAUUGCAUAUAUAAGGUCAAAUAUUUUAUGUAAACAUAUUAGGUAUUGAAUCCCCUUGGCCUCGGUGCAUGUCUACUUUUUUUGUUUUUUGAAUCUCCUUAGCGGAAAUCCUAGCUUCGCCACUUAUGUUACCAUUUUUUUUUUUAAAAAAUCCUAGCUUCGCCACUUAUGUUACCAUUUAAAAAAAAUAAAUCCUAGCUUCGCCACUUAUGUUACCAUUUAAAAAAAAAAAAAUCCUAGCUUCGCCACUUGUAUUAGUACUCUCUUACAAACAUAUCACCAUAAUACAUUUUCUUUUCUCUUUCUUUUCUUUUUGUAGAGUAUAUAUCUGCCUCUCAUAUUUGUUUGAGUCUGUGCCUCUUAUAUCAAGAUGGUUCAAGUCCCAACUCCUCCCCAAUUGUACUUCACUCCCUUCUUUUUUCUGUCAAUCUCCUUUUUUGUGAAAAAGUGAGCUCGUUCACAAUAAGCGUUAAGUUUUGGGAAGUAAUAAGCGGGGCUAGCUUACGGUCUCUGGUUCACCUACCUUGAGUAAUGCCAAUUUUUUGGAAUGGAUGAAGUGGGUUAUAACAUAUAUAAAGUUUAAAAAAAUUUCUGAAGCUCUUAAAGAAAGGGGAAACAAAGCUUGGUGAUUUGACCUCAUACUAAAUUGUAAUGGCGCCUCAAACUGAAACUUUUGGCAGUACAAAUGAAGUUCAGGAAUAAGGUUACUACACUAUUUCCUUGCUUGUCCCGUUAGUAGAAUAACAUAUUAAUGCUAUUGUCGUAACAGAGCAUACUAGUAUAUUUACUUUUCUGUAGUUUUAUUUACUUAGACCCUCUAAAUAAGAUUGCACAGUUGUUAUGUUGCUAAAGUUCUCAUUAUGACCUAAAAAUUUUCAUGUUGACCUUCAAUUAAACCAUGAUAGAACUGAAAAUAAAGGAUUCAAGUGGCUUAACUUAGCUUACUAUAUAUAACUGAAAAAAGUACAAUUUGAAAGAAUCUCAAUAUUGGCAACUCCAAGAGAGAACCAUGCCAUCUUACUGAAAUAUGGUGUAUAGAUCCUUGCUCUGUACAAGGGCUAUCCUUGUCCGGCCUGUCAGGGAAUUCUUAAUCUUGUUGCUACAUUGAUGUAAAGUGUUAUUUAGUUGAGAUACUGCAGUAACACUAGAUGGUCAAUUCUUUUUCCUUGAGCCGUGUCAGUUUCCUCUGAAUUUACUCGAUUCUGCAUCUUUAUGAACCUUACUACACUAGCUGUCUUCAUUUUUAUCCAAGUGCUAAGCCAUUAUGAAACCUUAUCUACGCCUCUUUUGUUUCUAUUUGUCUUGAACUGAGAAUCUUUGACUAAAAGAGAUUGUUUAAUUAUGUUUUAUAUUCUCAGUGUUUGAAAUUGCUGCUGCUGCCAUUAUUGAGCUUUGGUUGUAAUAAGUUUUCCAACCAUUCUUGGUAUUGGCAUUGUAAAAAGAUGCUCGAUGUGCUGAUUAUUCCACUAAAAACUAAGAAGAAACUUCUCCUUUUUGUUUAUUUUACACAAUUUUCUGGAAUGUCCCGAGCAGGUGGGAUCAUAUUCUUUGGUAACAUUGCAUGCUUGCAGUUUUGCUGUUUGAAGAGAAAUUCAAAUUUCUAGUUUUAAUUCCUUUACCUUGUCAAUAUGUAGUACCUGUACACACUAAACUUUGAUAAGCUCCGUGAAGUUUUUGCCUUUUUUUCAAUUCCCUAGUCUUAUCCACUACCCAAUAUUCCUUCAUUCACGUUCAUGUAAACUACAUCCAGAUAGCAGUUGAAUAGUCUUUUGUGGUUAAGACUCUACACCUUUUAGAUGACUGUGUUCUGCCUAUGUGUAUUUCCUGAAGUAAUACAGAAGACUUCUGCCUGAGAUGAACUUUAUGAUCAGACAGUUCAUGACCUAAGCAUGAAUGCUUUCUUGUUAAUUUAAGUGUGCAAUCCAUUGCUGUACAAAUAGAUAAUUUGGCGAGACUGUCUUUUGUAUUAUAGAAAUUGUUUUUGAUUGCGCAUGCCAUUCAUGUCGGUUUAGCAUUGGGAUCCUUGUGAUCCAGAAAUAACUUGUUUAAGAAGCACUUACUAUAUUCCUUAUUUAAGAAAAAAACAAACGCUUACUGUAUUUGGCAGCAAAGAAUGUAGUACUCAAAAUUGUGAAGCAUGUUUCAUAUAUUCUUUCCUGAUAUAAUUCUUUCUAUACAUAUUUAGUCUUCAGGCUCAAGAUCAUUCAUUCUUAAAUUCCCGGGAAGAGCAUUACUAAUAUAAAUUCGUAUUGUGUAUUUUUCUUUUCCAGUUGAAUGCUGAAAUUUGACAUUGGUGUGUAAUGAACUUAGUUUGUCCUUGCUGAAGACUAUUGCAUGCAAAGCAUAUUGAUGCAACUUUGAGGUAUGUCUUAAUGUAUUAAGUUGCUUAGCUCAGAUUUGUACUGUUUGCAUGUGGUGUGUUUCUCAAGGAAUUUCUAUGAGGAGCUACUGUUUUGUAAAACCUUUUCUGCUUACAUUUCUUCGCUCUUGCUCCUGUUUUAAGUUGUCAACUAUUUACAAUUAUUUCAGAAGUGUCAAAUCAAUUAUAAUCCUAGCAUAUAUGCAUACACAUCAUAAGCAUCAAGUGUCGAGAAAGAUAAAGAACUUAGAGAUACUGUGCCAAUGUAUUCUUUUAUUUGUUGUUAUUUUGACUUAAGUAGCUGUGCUAGGGAUUACCUCACACUUGUCUAACUUGCUGACAUUAACCAUAUGAACGGUAGAUUUUUCCUGACAUCCCUGCUUCUCUACCACUACUACCAUUACUAAUUGAAACAUAACUUUGUAAGCACGGCUGCUUCUUCAACACGAGAACUCAAAACUCUUACGAGUCUGGUUUUCCCGCUAAUGCAGCUGUAGCCUGCAGCAUGUUCCAGUUAGAUGAUAGUCAAUGAUCAAGGUCGUGAGCUACCAUUGUGCUUCCAGAUAAAGAAUAUGAAUAAGAAAUUACCCCAAUUCUGUAGUUCCUGAUGUGCCAUAGUUUUGUUGCUGUGGCUGGCUAAGCUGGAGAUGUACAGGAGUGUGGGGGUCUUCAUUAAUGCUUAAACUGUUCGGAGCAAGGGCUAUUCCGCUCACUCCAUUUGCAUCUCUAUUUCCAUAAACCUGUAAGUUCAACACAAAAUGUAGAAACAAUUUGCUAGAGUUCUAAGUAGAAUGGUGAAACUUUUUUACUUGGUAUAUGAAUAUGGAAGGAAAUAAUUGUUCUUGAAGCGCAGUGAAAGCUCUUAGUGAUGUACAUGGAUACCCUCUUAUACAAUUCCAUAUUUUCUUGACGAAUUAGGUUUACCUUCUUAUAUAGUUCCAUGUUUUCUUGAUGGAUGAGGUUUCCCUGCAAGGAAAAAAGUUAAUUUAGCUUCUUUAAAAGUUAUCCUUUUUAGAACAAAUUGAAAACAAAAGUCACUGCAUUUUAUGUUGAUUGACCUUUCGGUUUAGUUCUUGUAUCUCAUCAAUCAGAAUUUCAUCCUGUAGAAAUGAGAGGUUGAGUUAGUUCUUCUUUAGUUCAUAUAAGAUAGUGCACAUUUGAUGGAUCUGGAAGUUUCGUACCUUUCUCACACGGACACCACGGAGACUCAUUUCCAGUUGGUUCUCCAAGUUCUGUAAAUCUUUGACGCUCAGACCAGAAAGCUCUUCACCCAUCAUUUGUCUAUAGUGCAGAAAUAAACUGUUAACAAACACGCGACUUCAACAGAAAAGUUGAUACCUGACUGACUAUGAUUUAGAUAUACAUCCAUUUCUAACAACUGUUGCUUCUCGCUUCUUGGGGGGGGGGGGGGGUUGAUGUUAAACAGCUCGAGGGUUUGGGCUUUAGCAGAAAUCUAUAACACCAUUUGAGAUGGGCUUAUUAUUGGAUUUUCACUCCCGACAUUAAGUGGUUUCUGAGUUUAUCUAGUGUAAACACCUCUACAGAAACCUUCAGUAAAUUGCAUGAUUCACUGCAGUAUAUUUUGCAAAAUGUAGUAUGCUUUAGAAGUCCAUGCUAAUACUUCUAAUCAUGAGAGAUAAGAGAUACUGGGUGCUGCUUGAUACUUUAACGCCUUGAUGUGAGGGAUGAUAGUAAGACAUUGUAAGGAUUAUGCUCACGGUCUUGAAUGUCUCAUCAUUUUGAUUGGAAUACCAGUAACCUCAAAUAAUCUCUGAAUGUCCUUUCUGUUAGCACUUACAGAUAUAACCUUCUUAUGGAGGAUCUAGAGUGGAUAUCUCUGUUUCAUCUGCUAUUUUGAAAACUGAAAAUGCUACCAGCUAUCAAGUGGCACUUCCUAGCAAGGUGGCUGAUAGUUUAACCCUUAAUUUCUUGCAUAGCAAAAGCUUUUUUAGGGAAAUUGGUGGUUAACCUAGGGAUUGCCUAAAGCAAUAAAAAACAGAAAUGAGAAAAAGGAACGAGACAAGUUAACCUUUUUAACAAUAAAAAAACAAGUCGACUAUUUCAUUUCCGUAACUAUAAACUAAAUGACCUUAUCAAAAAAAAAAACUAUAAACUAAAUGAAAUGACAACAAACAUUUAGAAAAUGACAACAAACAUUUAGAAUUAGUCAACUAUUAACUAAUUCAAAUGAAAACUUGACUUCUGGGCUCCAAAAUGAUGAAGUAAGUUGAAAUGGAAAGGUCUUCAACAUAUAAUUUAGGAGGCAAAGUACUAAUAGAACUUUAGGAUUGAAAGAUAGAUAGAAAUGAGAGGAAAGAAGAGAGUACAACAACAACAACAUACCCAGUGUAGUCUCACAAGUGGGGUCUAGGGGGUUGUGUGUACGCAGACCUUACCCUUACUCUUAAGAAGACAAGAGGCUGUUUCUGGUAGACCGUCGGCUCAGGAAAGAUAAAGGGAAGGGGCAAUAACAAGAAAACCAAUCGGAAAGCCGAAGCAAAAAUACAAAACUAACACUAGGUAAUGCAAUCAGAAAACCGAAGUGAAGGCAACAACAAGUAAUAACAAAAGUCUAGGAAGACGAAAAUACACGAAAGACGCUAAGUGAUGUACUAGAGCUACUGUAACAAACAAGGACAUCGCUCGACUACCUAACCUUUUACCUUUAUUCUCAACCUCCACACCUUCCUAUCCAUGGUCAUGUCAUCAGUAAGCUGGAGCAAUGUCAUAUCUUGCCUAAUCACCUCUUCCCAUUACUUCUUUGGCCUGCCUCUACCUCUCCGUUGGCUCUCUAAGGCCAACCUCUCACACCUCCUCACCGGUGCAUCUGUGCCUCUCCUCUUCACAUGCCUGAACCAUCUAAGUCUUGCCUCCCGCAUCUUGUACUCCAUAGGGCGCAUCUUGUACUCCAUAGGGGCCACGCCCACCUUGUCCUGGAUAACUUCAUUUUUAAUUUUAUCUAACCUGGUAUGCCCGCACAUCCAUCUCGACAUUCUCAUUUUAGUCACCUUUAUCUUUUGGACAUGAGAGUUCUUGACUGGCCAACACUCCACCCCAUACAACAUAAUCGGUCUGACCACCGCUCUAUAGAACUUACCUUUAAGUCUUGGUGGCACAUUCUUAUCAUAUAAAACACCGGAAGCGAGCCUCCAUUUCAUCUAUCCCGCCCCAAUACAAUGUGUGACAUCCUUGUCGAUCUCCCCAUUCCCUUGUAUAACUGACCCAUGGUACUUGAAACUUUCUUUCCUAGGGAUGACUUGUGAAUCAAGCCUCACGCCUUGGCCCACUACCUGUGUCGCACCACUGAACUUACACUCCAAGUAUUCUGUUUUGGUCCUGCUCAACUCGAAACCUUUAGAUUCCAGGGUCUGCCUCCAAACCUCUAACCUCUUGUUUACAUCACCUCGCGUCUCGUCAAUCAGUACAAUAUCAUCUGCAAAUAACAUGCAUCACAUCACCUCCCUUUGAAUGUGGCGCGUCAGUGCGUCGAUCGCCAGGUUAAAUAGAAAUGGGCUGAGGGCUUACCCCUGGUGCAACCCCAUCACAACUGGGAAGUGUUUCGAGUCCCCUCCCAGUGUCCUCACACGAGUCUUAGCUCCAUCAUGCAUGUCCUUAAUAGCCCUAAUGUAUGCAACUGGAACCCCUCUAGUCUCCAAACAUCUCCACAGAACCUCCCUCGACACUUUAUCGUAAGGCUUCUCUAAGUCGAUGAACACUAUAUGUAAAUCAGAGGAAAGAAGAGUAGGUAAUUUAAUUUUUUUGUUUGCUCGGAAUGGGUUUUUAGGAAUAGGAAGGGAGGAGGGAAGAGGGAAUUAAGUUCGUUAACACAAUGUUCUGUCCAAAAGUGGGUGAAACCAAGAAAAACAAGACAUGCUGUAGUGAAACUUUUGUAGCAUUAAAAGAAAACUCAGGAUUAUUAACAAAAUAACUAUUAAGGGAAUUAGUGUCAAUUGAUACACAUUCCUUUUAUAUUUCCUUACUCCAUCACAGGAAAGUAACAAUCUGCUCUCCCUUUCUUUUUCUCUACAUCAUCUCCAUUCUUCUCUUUUCCCUUUUCUCAAUUCAAAAGAUCAGUGUUAAAUAGUUUAAGUAGAGUAAUGGAGGAAAUAAUUCAUUUAACCUAGUUACUUUGUUGAUGAAUUCAAUAAUAUACUGAUAUUAUGGGCAGAUUCCCAUAUGUAUCCAAAUCCCUGCAAAGAGCAUUCGGUCAUCAAUACUGAUUGAGACACCAUACAUUAUCUAAAAACAGUACGUCCCUUAUGUAAAUACUGCUUAUUUGCACAUGAAGCACAAAGUGACAGGGAUUGUCCAUUUUCCUCUCAAAUUCUUUGUUGUUAGGAUAGCUCCUUGUGUUACUAUCGGUUUAAAAGCACGCUUCCCAAAUGCUGUAGGGAUCCAUAUUGAAGAGUGAGGGAAGUUACCUUUUCUUUAGCAGUCCAUUAUAAAAUGAUUUCACUAUGAACAUAACAUCUUUCUGGCCUUUCCUGUUUCCAGCUACCUUUGUCCAUAAAUGAUAUUUUUGCUUGUACGGUAAUGUAAGCAAACUAUUAAGCUGUUUCAUCGUCCAAUCCUUCACUCAAAUGUAGUUUCUAUAGAAUUUCCUCAUUCUUUAUAAUUGGGACGAGUGUUAAUCUCUGCUGGCUGAAAGUAUUGAAUAUGAUCAGAAAACUUAACAUAAAAGAAUAUGACUACAUUGUCUCUAUUUCCAGAAAUUGAUUCUGGUUUCAUUACCUCCCUUCUAAUUUGACACAUCCAUAGAAUCUCUCCACAUUUUCACCAUAUCCUCCAUAGAGUUACUCCAUAUAGCAUGGAUAAUCUGAUUGGUCCUAAUUAUCCCACUUGAUCUACAUACUUUUUAACUAUGAUCGCUCUCCACAAUGGUUGAUUUCCAUGCGAAACCCCCAAGUCAACUUCCCUAGUUGAGUUCUAUGAACAUUCCAUCUCCCUAUCGUGUCCCAUAAUAGAUUCGUUUACACUUUUUAACCUUUUGCCAUGAUUCCUGGUACAUAGUAAGUUGACAGAUUCGAAAAAUUACUCUUUGAUAAUGGUCUCUCUCUCCCUUUUAAGUAAGUAUUACUUCUACCGUCCUUUAGUUUCUUUUUGGUUCUCAACAUUCUCUUUCAUAUUGCAGUCUUUGUAAAUCGUACUGGUAUAGUCAAUAUGGAUACAUAGUAAGUUGGCAGAUUAAGCAAAUUUCUCUUGAUCGCUGUGUCUAUCUCACUUUUUCAAGAAGUAUUUCUUCUACCAGCCUGUUAGUCUCUUUUUGACUCUCUCGACCAUCAGUUUUUUUUCUUUGACAAUCCUUGAAAGUCGCACCCAGCGGUAGUAUUGAUAAGUCAUCUUAUGAUGGGACCCAUACUGCAACUAUGGAUCUCCACCAGCUAUUUAAUGCUCUUCGCUUCAUCAAUCUUAGAGUUCCCUGAGACCACAAUAGUAGAGCUGAUUUGCCUCGGUAAUAACACAAAAUGUCAUCUGCAUAUAGUAAGAUAUAGUAGAUAAUACACUUGUAAACUAUCUUUCCUUCCCUACAAGCUGUGAAGCCCCAUAAAUAACCCCUGUCCUUAUUCUCCAUCUUCUUGUUGAAUAUUUCAAUGAUCAGUAUGAACAAUGUCAGGUGUAGGGUUUUUAAAGUCUUGCUUAAGGCGCAGUUAAGUCUUGAAGCUCAGUGAAAUCCAAUUUGUGGGAUUCACCUCCCAUGGUUGGCACUUUAGUGUAGGUACUAUAAUAUGUGCUUCUUCACCUAUGAGCUCCAUCUUUAAGAGCAUUGCACUAGACAAUAAAUAGAGUUGACAAAGUUAUAUUAAUUGUUAAGAAAGCCUUAUGAAUGAACUUUUAGCGAUUAGCAAUAAGAAAUUAGAAGCUGCACCAAGGGUGUGGCCUAGUGGUCAAUGAAGUGGGUUGAACACCAUGAGUUCUCUGGUUCAAUUCCCAACAGAGACAAAACAUUAGGUGAUUUCUUCCCAUCUGUUCUAGCCUUGGUGGACAGAGUUACCUGGUAUCUGUUGCUGGUGGGAGGUGGCAGGUAUCCCGUGGAAUUAGUCGAGGUGCACGCAAGCUGGCCCGGACACCACGAUUAUAAAAAAAAAGCAAUAAGAAAUUAGAAGUUCAAUAUAAGAAAAUUAGCCAUUAAAAACAUAAAACUAUGUUUUUCAUUUAAAUAAGAAGUUUAAAAUGGUUUCUGAGCUUACUUAACAUGACUUUUACUUCAUAUAUACAACCUAAUUCCAUUCUUUCGUACAAAGAACUAAUUUUUUUUUUUGUAGUUACAUUUACUUGCUUUACAUUUUUUUAUUAGCGCUUUUGUACGUUAAAACCCAUACUUCGAUUGCACUUUAAUCUUAAAGCCCAACGAACUUUAGCACUUUUUGCUUUUGACUACUUUGGUAAGGUGAUCACCUUGUCAUAGACCUCUUGAGCUUCCAAAGAAACCUUUGGGAUUCCGUUUACUAGACUGAGAACUUGAUAGUGGGCAUCAGAAAGUGGAUCAUUGUUUUCAUCUCUCCCAUCCCUUAUUCUCCAUAACGAGGUCCAGAAGUCAUGCUUUUUAUGGAUUACUUUACACAGUACUCGUGUCUCUCUACUCUUCCGUUCUAGCUCAGUCACUAUAUAAGCUCCUUGUAUAACUUAAAUAGCAGACAAAAUAGAUUUAAGGGCCCAAAUAAUAAAACAAUUCUAACAACGAAAAUUUCCACUUGUGAAACAAUUUGACUCCUAUGAUGUAGGAACUCAAUGAAAAUUACUGGGGUACUUUCUUCUGAAAUAAUUUUGCUCAAACAUCUCAAAAGCUAUCGUGGACUAACAUGAGCUCAAUUUAAGAAAAUACCUGAAUUGCUUAAUACACAAAAAUAUCCUUAUUUUUAUUCUAUAGGUCAUUGAACAAGUUAUUAGCAGAGAGAAGAAAUAUAUGUGAUAAAGAACAAGAAAGUUUACCGAUGAUUCUCUUGCAAGUUUUGUAGUUGUUGCCUCAGCACUGCCGCUUCCCUUUGCCAAAACUGCUAAGAAGAAAAAAUAUUUCUUACAUUUUGGAUUAUCAAGAACAAGAACAACAUGCCCAGUGUGAUCCCACAUGUGGGUUUUGGAGAAUGUAUGGUGUACGCAGACCUUACCCCUACCUUGUGUGAGGUAGAGAGGUUGUUUUCAAUACACCCUUGGCUCAAGAAAAGAAUUUUCAAAAUAGGUUUAAAAAAUACAAGAGUAAAAAAGUUAUGAUGAAAAUACUGAAACAAAGAAAAUUAUUGCCAGCAAAAUAGUAAAGAUAAUCGAAAUAAAAGAAACACCAGUUGUAUAAAAUUGAGGAAUAAAAUAAUAAUACUAGGAUAAUAAUACUAAUACUGAUAAAGAGAAGAGGGUGCUCUAAACUAGAACCACUGCUCUCCCGCAAAAAAAGAGAGAAAUCGCUUGACUACCUGCUAAUCUUCUACUCUAAUCCGCGGCCUCCAAGCUCUCCUAUCUAGGGUUAUGUCUUCGGUGGGCUGAAGAUGUGUCAUGUCCUGUCUAAUCAUCUCUCCCCAGUUCUUCCUCGGUCUACCUCUACCUCUCCUAAGACCUAUCAUUGCCAACCUUUCGCACCUCCGCAUUAGGGCAUCUGUGUUCCUCCUAUUCACAUGCCCGAACCAUCUCAACCUCGCUUUAAGGAUCUUGUCCAUCAUGAGGGCCACUCUUACCUUGUCCCACAUAUCUUCUUUCCUAAUCUUAUCUUAUGCUCACACAUCCUUCUAAGCAUCUUCAUUUCCGCUUCUUGCAUUUUCUGAACGUGUGAGUUCUUGACUAGUCAACACUCUGCUCCGCAUUUUGGAUUAUCAUAGGAGACAUUAAUGGAUAUCGCUGCAUGCUUUGAAAACUAGGUGCAAUAUCAAUAGUAAACAAAGCUUAGAUGUAAUGGGUUCUAUUUAGAUUAAUGUAUAGCCGUUCCCUUCCUUGCGGUCCAAGAAAUAGAUCCAUGUAUAACCUCAAGAUUGUGUAUUUUAAUUUAUUAGCCCUUUUAAAUUAGGGGGAAAAACAAAAUGAGCUAGGGUUACUUUCUUGAGGUUGCAUCCUGUCAAUGAUGAAAAAAGAAGGAAAAAUGAAAUACACUAGCUUAUGGUUCCGCUCCCCUCUAUUUCACUAGCUAACAUAAAUAAAAAUAUCAUUUCCUUUGUGUUAUCCCAAGGAUUGGAUCUGGUUAAGAAUCGCUGUAUACUCCUUAUGAAUGUCACUUCUCUUUUAUAAGAUUAAAAGGGAAAAGGAAGAACUUGAAUUCUUUUGAUUUUAGUUUUAAAUGUGGAGACACUUCUUGUGGUUAAUUUUUUUUCAAGAAGUAAAAAUUUUCAAAAAGAAGAAUCUGGUAUAAAUUAGACAAAUUCAAAAUAAUAGAUGCAUCAAAUAUGAUUAGAGGACGCAGCAUAUGAAACCUUACUGAUCUACUUUGGCUUAGAGACAACUUUAUCUUAAAAAAGACUUUGUAGACAUGCUGUCAAUUCUUGUUUCUUGAUUGCCUCAUUGAUAGGUUUCUCCUCUUUCUCUUACAUUGAUGAAAUGGUAGUGUCGUUUUUAAUAACUAAAACUUGAACUUUUUUCUUUUAAGCUAGUUCAGAUUAGGAUUUUGGAAGUUCUCUGGUUCAGGCGCAAAGUUCGACAUUUGGGAAUUGAAGGGGAUUCGAGUCUCAAACAUUAGUAGAUAACAUUAGAGAGUCAAAAAUACACUGACAAAGAGAACAUUGUUGCUGUGUCUGUGAAUCAGCUGCUUUCCAGAGUGACUCUUUGACCGUUUUCUUCUGUAUCUCCUCACAUUGAUGAAAAUGGGUGUAGAAGAGGAUUUCUACUUUUGGUACAAAGGUCGACAUGUAGGAAUAGAAGAGGAUUUGAGUCUUAACAUGACUAGGACACAUCAAGAUGUUGACCAUGCAACCAAGCCAGGUUGAAUUCAAUUUUUGUCAUUUUCGUGGAAGACAUAUUGUAGAUUUAGCUACAAGACUUCUUCUGCAUAGCACUAACAAUUUGAUGCAUCUCUUAGCAUGGACCCUAUUAUUGACUGGUUGCCCUGAUUAAUACAAUGCCUUGAUAUGGAUUUGCUGUAGAGUGGCUUGAGUGAUGUUAAUUAACAGCUCCUAUAUUUUGUGGUAAAUUACUCCUACAAACUUGUGAAGAAUUCUUCAAACCAAUGGGUUUGAAUGACAUUUCAUAGGGGAUUCAAAGUUUUGAAGUGAAAGAGAUAGCCACAAGGCAUCUUUUUUAUAUUUGUUGCUUCCUACCUUCAAAAGUUUUGCUCCACAAUAUGCCAUCAGCGAUAGAAAUGUAAGUUAUAGUUGUUUUGGUAGCCUUGAAGUUGAUGGCCAUUCUGGUGUGUGGUACUGCAUGGAGGAUGCAAAUUCAACGUUCUGCUUCGUAAAUGAGUUCUUACAGUUGCCGCAUAGUUACUCUAUGCUAUACUAUCAUAUGUUAUUCAAACCUCGGUCCUAAUUGUGCUAUAAUUUGUUUGUAACUUCCUUCUAUGCUUUGCACCAUAUGUGGGAUUUUUACAAUUGGAUCUAGCUUAAUUGACUGAGAAUAAUCCUACUGAAUAGAUGAAAUAGGACUCCACCAUCUAAUAGGUCCACAAGACUGAAUUUCCCCUCUUUGUAUACAGUUUUUAGUUCAUAGGAAGAGUUUGUUUCUUCAUUUACCAUCUCCUCUUGUACCUUUUAUUAUCAAAGUGAAAUAUGUGAAAGAAGAAUAAAAGAUUUGAUGCCUAAUGUUAUUGAUGGCUUUUUGGUAUAGGUUACAACAACAACAAUUACCCUGUAAAACAACAAUUGAUGGUGUACCUUACCCCUACCCAGGGGAGUAGAGAGGCUGUUUCUGAUAUACCCUCACCAGAAAAUAGAUGAAAAGCAAAAACAAUAAUCAGUAAAUAAGGCCCGGAAUUAUGAAAAACGGAAGAAUAGUGUGAACACAACAUUAACCGCUAGCCGUCUAAGACAAAACUCUAUCAGACUAGCCUCACACCUGUUACGGAGUAGAAAAAUGCUUGACUACCCCCUAACCUACAAUCCUAAUGCUCGACAUCAAGGGCCAUGUCCUCGAAAAUCUGAAGCUACGCCAUAUCCUGCCUGAUCACCUCUCCCUAAUACUUCUUAGACUGCCCUCUACCUCUUCUCGUACUCGUCAAAGCCAACUGCUCACUCCUUACCGUGGCAUCUAGGCUUCUCCUCCGCACGUGCCCGAACCAUCUGAGCCUCGCUUCCCGCAUCUUGUCAUCCAUAGGAGCCACACCCACCUUCUCCCGAAUAUCUUCAUUCCUAAUUUUAUCGAUCCUAGUGGACCCGCAUAUCCACCUCAACAUCCUCAUUUCUGCUAUUUUCAUCUGCUGGAUAUGUGAGUUCUUAACUGGCCAACACUCUGCCCCAUACAACAUGGGCGGUCUAACCACCGCUCUAUAAAACUUGCCUUUGAGUAUCGGUGGCACUUUCUUGUCACGCAGGACUUUAGAAGCUAACCUCCAUUUCAUCCAUCCAACCAAUAUACGGUGUGUGACAUCCUCGUCGAUCUCCCCAUCCCGCUAGAUAACCGACCCAAGAUACUUGAAACUGCCUCUUUUAGGAAUGACCUGCGAUUCAAGCCUCACGUCCAUGCCCGAUUCCCUCAACUCGGCGCUGAACUUGCACUUCAGGUAUUUUGUCUUAGUCCUGCUCAACUUGAAACCCUUAGACUCUAGGGCCUGUCUCCAAACCUCCAGCCUCUCGUUAACGCCUCACGUCUCAUCAAUUAGAACUAUGUCGUCAGCAAAUAACAUACACCAUGACACCUCCCCUUGAAUAUGAUGUGUCAGUGCGUUCAUCACCAGGGCAAAUAAGAACAGGCUAAGCGCAGAUCCUUGAUGUAACCCGAUAACAACCGAAAAAUGCUUUGAGUCAUCUCCCACUGUCCUAACCAGAGUCUUAGCUCCAUCAUACAUGUCUUUAAUCGCCCUAAUGUAAGCAACCGGCACACCUUUUGCCUCCAGGCAUCUCUAAUGAACCUCCCUACGGACCUUGUCAUACACUUUCUUCAGGUCAAUAAACAUCAUGUGUAGAUCCUUCUUCCUAUCCCUGAACUGUUCCACUAACCUCUUAUAUCUUCCGUAGUUGAACGACCCGGCAUGAACCCAAACUGGUUGUCAGAUAUAGACACCGUCCUCAUCACCCUNNNNNNCNNNNNNNNNNNNNUCCUUUGUUCUUGUACAACGGUACCAUCGUACUCCACCUCCACUCAUCCGGCAUCCUUUUCGUCCUGAAAAUAACAUUAAACAGUCCAGUCAGCCACUCCAAGCCUGCUCUACCCACACACCUCCAAAAUUCUACCUGAAUUUUGUUUGGCCCGGUUGCUCUUCCCCUACUCAUCUUACGUAUAGCCCCCACAACCUCCUCAACCUUAAUGCGCCUAUAGUACCUAAAGUCUCGGUGACUCUCAAAAUGCCCCAAUUCACCUAGCACAAUAUCCCGGUCCCCCUCUUCAUUCAGAAGUUUAUGAAAGUAAGUCUGUCAUCUCCGCUUAAUCUGAGCCUCUCCCAUCAAUACUCUACCGUCAUCGUCUUUGAUGUACCUCACUUGGUCCAGAUCUUGAGCCUUCCUCUCUCUCCCCUUGCCCAGCCGGAAUAACUUCUUAUCCCCACCUUUGUCUCCCAAUUCCUCGUAUAGACGCCCAAACGCUAUAGUCUUAGCCUCUGUGACCACCAAUUUCUCCUCCUUCCUAGCUACCUUAUACCUCUCCAUGUUCGCUUCUCUCUCCUCCUCUCCUGUGCUCCCUACUAACUUCAGGUACGCCGCCUUCUUCGCUUCCACUUUACCUUGGAUCACUCCAUUCCACCACUAGUCGCAUUUGUGCCCGCCAGAGUAACCCUUCGAGACCCAUAACACCUCUCUUGCCACCUCCCUUGUACAGUUCGCCGUCAUCGUCGACAUAGCGCUCGCGUCCCACUACUCCUCUAGGCUCGCAUAGACGAUAACCUCUCUUCCAACUCCUGAGGUUUAUCCUUAGUCAAGGCUCCCCACCUGAUCAUCGUUUAUUGCUAGUAUUGGUUAUGUUGAGGCCGACCUAGACCAACACAAAGUAAUGGUACUCAUUCUUCGUCUAUGCAUAUGUACGUUGAAGAUUUAAUCUAAUCUUAAAUAUUAAAAACUUGUUAUUUUAUUUUUCCAGCUACAUUUUUAUUAGAAAACUUACAAAAGUAAGACUCUUGAUUUUGUGUUCUAGUAUCAUUUCAUUCUGACGCUCUUGAGAUACCUCAUGGAGUUUAUUCUCCUCCUUGCUUCUGAAGAUGAGUUGAACACAAGCCUAUAACAUGAUCUAGGUUUUCAUGGUUUUGGACUUCAGCUUUGGAACUUCUAUUUAUUUUCAUAAUUGAGAUUUGGUAGACUUAUGGUAAGUGAGAGGAGUUGAAAGCAGUGGCGGAUCCAGAAUUUUCAUCAAGGGGUGUCAUAAUAUAAAUAAUUAGAUAUAUCGAAAAGUGAAGGAGAGUCAACGUAUAGUAAAUAUACAUAAAAUAAAAAAAGUUAUCUAGCAAAAUAGUGUAAUUUUCCGGCGAAUGGGUGUCGCUUGACAUCCCUUGCUUCAAUGUGGCUCCGCCACUGGUUGAAAGUUAUUUAAAAUGCUAAGAGGACCGUGUUAAGGUGGCAUUUGACUUAUUAGGGGGAGGAAAAUUGGAAAACUAUUCUGCAUGUCUUUAGUAUUUUGGCUUGAACAUGAUGUAAUACUGUUGGAUUUAUUAUCUCCUGUAUUUCAAUGUUGUAUUUCUGGGGAUUCUGCUGAACUUAUCCCAUGCUAUUAUUCAUAGAGUUAAGACUGUAAUUUAUCUGCAAUAGAGUUAAAGCACAGGGAUAGACAAGUAUGUGAUCAACACUUUGUUGAUAUCUAUGUAGAAUUUACAUUCUUCAUUUUAUACCAGAAAGAGAUAUUUUACAUGCUUCAAAUUAUCUUUGUCUUGUUUCCCAACUUGCAAUGAAGCUAAUGGUAGACGACCGCUCCUAUAUGUUGAUGGUGGGAUUAUGUGGAGAGAGGCUACAUCUCAUCCCACCCAUGUUAUAAUAGUUGGUAGUGCUUGAUAACGUGAAGUUUAGCAUUAGCACUUUUGACAAAAGGUAAGCAAAAGGUUAUGUGAUAAGUGAAGAGCUUAUCUACAUACGGAAAGAAAUCAUCUAGAGUAGGAUUGAACAGAGAUAUUGGGUCUCUUUGAGGUGGCAAAACUGAACCAUGGAUACCAUUGCCCCACUCUAUGGUAACCGAGGCUUCUAGUUGAGGUUUCAUGACAUUUAGGCAACUAUUAGUGGCUUUUGUUAAGAAUAAUACAUAAGUUAGUGUCGUUUAGAUGCAUGUUGGGGAGGAAGGAUAUCUGUCAGAUUAUUAUUUAGGCUCUUUAGUUGUUGGUCAUAUUCAGUUUGCUUCAUUUUUGUAGAGUGAUAGUAUGGCAUGUGAUGAAAAUUGGUUUGUAGAAUGGAUUCCUUCUGGUCAGAGGUAACUAUAUAGAGUCUAACCACAUCUAAGGCGGAAGGUUUAUCUGGUUAUAGUUCUUCAAUGUUUUAGCCAUAUCCUUGGUUCUUAUGUUGCUGUAUUUGCAUAAUAUGUAUUGCUUAGGUUUAGGGGUGGCAAAUAGGUGGGUCGGAUCGGAUAUGAGCAGGUCGAAAAUGGGAAUGCAAAAAUGGAUAAAUUAUCCGACCUAACCCAUAUUUAAUACGGAUAGAAAAUGGGUUAACCGNNNNNNNNNNNNNNNNNNUAAACUCAUUAGUUAUCUAUUGGUUAUACAUUAGUUAUUCAUUUUCUAAGUGGAUAAUAUGAUUUUUAUCCAUAUUUGACCCGUUUUUAAAAAAUUCAUUAUCCAAUCCAUUUUUUUAGUGAAUAAUAUGGAUGGAUAACUGUUUUUUAAUCCAUUACCGCUACUUAGGUUCAUGACAUAUGGGCAACAUUUUUUUCUUGUGCAGUAAGAAAUUAGCCGUGCCCCAGAUGGAGAUUAUAACACAGCUCUAGAUGAGAUCUUCUGUUCUUGGAUUUUGUGUACCGUAGGAAGUGUGUGCUAUGAGCAUGAGUGCAAUGUCAUGAUGGCAGUAUUAACCCCUCAGCAGAAUGCUUAAUUAUGCCUUAAAUUAUGUUGACCUAUGCAGUCUUAUUAUUAAAAGGAGUCAAGUUCUGCUUCCGUGAUCAAUCUUACGAGAAAUUACCUUCCAAUACCAUAUCCAAAGUUCCUUGCUGCACCUGAACUGAUAUGGCUCUCUGUCAGAUGAAAAUCCCCUGAAUGGUAGACUAAUCUACACUGCUUCAGUUUCACAGUAGUAUCAGGGUGUGUGAUUUCUGAACACAGGAAGGCCCAAUGUUUCUCCUGUUUCACUUCCCAUCACAUUUCGUUUACCUAUAUGCCUGAACUGCAUAAUUCCUGUAAUACUGAUAUGUGAAGAACGAACUAUUUUUUAAUGGGAAUUUUUAUUCCUUUGCAGCAUCUUGAAGACAUGAAGCAUAGCGUCUGACUUCUGUUUUUCCCUUCUGCAAUUGCAAAGAAGGAUUAGAGAUUGAUCUCCAAAUACUGAACAGAUGACAUGACAAAGACAUGUUAUAGAGUUGGAUACCUUGAGUGAAGCAGUGGUACCUAGAACCUAGUGCUAUCCAUGAAUGUCAUUAUCUGCUUAAUAACGACAAGAGGGACUGAGUAGAAGUAAGAAGAUAAGGUUCAGAUUAACACCAACUGUGUCAUCUUGGUAGAAAGUUUAGGACCGGUAUCCACUUCUCUUUUUUCAAAAAAGGUUUGACUCGUAUACUCAGUAGUACCACAUUCAAGUCAGACAAGUUAGGAGAUGAGUGUGCCCUAGCUGACCAUUAUCAAGAAAUGGACUUCACGGUAAGGAAAUCAUUACUCCCUCUACCACGAAUUGAAUUUCCUUGUUGAGUUGGCAUGACUCAGAUGAUGAAAAUUCUGAAGAUUUUGUUUGAGAUUUUGUGGAAACUGGUUAGAAGGGGGCCUGGGGCCUGGGGGGAUAAGCAAUCUUUGAAGUCUGUCAUACUAGAAGUUUUCCCACAAUAAAAGAACCUUUACACUGUAAAAGUAAUUUCAAAGAUGGCCAAACUUUCCUGUACAACAGAAUUUGACAGAUUGCUAAAUCCUUGAAGUCGAUUUAUUAAUGGUCAUCAUCAGUGAAAAGGUAGCAUGUUGCUUUUAUUCUAAUCAUGUGGCCUGUCAGUACCCUCAAGAACAUGAAAACCCUAAUUAUUGUUGUUUUAAUCUAGCAGGAAUCAGCCUGUGUCCAUGUAGAAUAUUUUUUCACAUUAAUAUGAAGACUGUAGUGGUUAGGUGGAAUCUGUUUAGCUGAAGAUGUUCUUGUUGAUAUGAUGCAAAUCGAAAUAAUUGUGAACUAUAAGACAGUUCUAUCCCUAGCUAUGCUUUGAUUGCUAGACAAAUGGGAGUCAUAGUCCCUGAUCUAUUCUUUUAUGUGACCCCUCUCCAGUUAAAUCCUGAAUAGCUGAAGUUGCAGUACGUUCAUACAAUAGGUAGCUUUUCAUGCUGCAUCAUAAUAAUGGAAUACUUAGUUCCUGUUCUCUGUCAAUGUGUUGGAUUGCCCCUGGCUGAUCGUGUCUUUUAUAAAACACAUUGGAGAAAUCUGCUCUAGUCUUGUAAAAUAUCUUCCUUCCGUUUAAACUAUCUGUCUUCAAACUUUAGCCUUCAGUCCAGCAUCUUCAACGGUACAGCUGACUGUAACUAUGAGAAUCUGCAUGCUUCUUUCUUGCAGCAUUUUGUUUGUUUUUUGCUUUUGCCCCUUUAUCCUGCUCUCCAUCUCCUAAUUCUAAUUAAUUUGCUAAAACUUGCGGAUAGGUGCUAAUAUCUUUUAAAUCCUUUUCACAAAGAGGUGUAAACAACAAUGCCCCUCAGGGUUUUGUUCUAGUGGUAAGAGCACAAUCGAUGAUGUGUGGAUUAGGCACAGGCCACAGGUUCGAAUCUUGCCUCAGACAAAGCCAGAUAUUUAAGUGGAGAUGGGUAGAGCGGCGGGCCCAUCAUUCACCCAGUUUCGAACCCUUUGGCCACUGGGAUCUCUCGGUAGUCAGGAAAAAGUGUUAACGACAAUACACCACAAUUUAUGCAUGUUGUGAAAAGAGGAAAGAGGAGAGAAACUCUUACUGAACUUCUCUUGUUAGAAAAGCUCUCGUGUCUUACUGAACUUUUUUGGGUUAACAUAUAUGAGGGCUCUUUUUUAAUGGACUGAAGAAUCCUAAUUAUUGGGGUUUUCAAUUAUGACAUAAUAGUUUAUAGUUCUCUGGUCAAUGGCAGAACAUUAGGAGUAAUUCUCACUAAGAUCAUUUUGACACACUUUUAGACUUAUAGACUCCUUGUAUCUUGGAUAGGAGUUGAGCAAAAACUUUAGUACAGGUUCAACUCCUGAUUGUUGACGGAACAGUGUUCAUCACCGAAAGGUCGUAUUCUUUCUCACAGACUGUUAUCGACACAGCCAAAGAAAUGUGCCUUGCAGCACAUGGGAAAAAUCGUCUUAAUUUAGCGGAAAGAGAUUUUGGUGACACAAAUCUCUAUUAAAUCAUGUAAGCUUGAAUUAAAAUUGAAGGGUAACAAGAAAUUAUUGGGGUAAUUGCUGGCAAAGCCAGAGAAAAGUGACCGGAAGAGACGAUGCCGUCAGGAUGGUUGCCUGAAAGAGAUCAGCGUGGUGCCUCAAAUGUUCUCUGGAAAGAAGUGUGGAGCCUGAAAAGGCACAAUGCUGCCUAAAUGAUGGCUGGAAACAAGAAUAGUGCUGCCUAGAAGGGUUAUCAGAAAGAGGCAAGAGUAGUACUUAGAUUUCCACAAAUAUCGUAGAAGCUUAAUACGCCUAAUACUACAUGGAAGGAGAGAGACGAAGAGAAACUCUUGUUGGAACUGGUUGAUAACAUCAAGAGUGCUCCUUGUAGAAAAGUUUUGAACUAUAUAUGAGAUAAGGAAGUUUCAUGUUCCUAAGGUUUCCUAUUUAUUACAUGAUAUAUAAUCACUAAGGAUAUUUUCCAUAUUAUUCUUAUUGAUCUUGUAACUUUCAUUGGUAAUAUAAUCAUUACCAAAUUCUCUGCUAUUUAAUUAUUCUGUUAACUUUGAACAUCUUUUUUUUUCUUAUUAUAGUGGUGUCCGGGUCAAUUUGCUCGCACCUUGAGUAUCCCACCGAAAAGCCUGCGGUACACAUGGCGCGAAAUCAGCUCACCAUGGUAGAGCAGAUAGGCUUAUACCGAGUGUUAUAGCUUAGCUUUGAACCUGAGAUCUCAGGUUGUUACUCAUGUGUCUCAACUGCUCAACCAUUUCCUUUUUCAACGACAUGAAAUGGCUAUGAUAGAAACCUUAGUAUGCAUAUUUUUCUUUGACUAGUUGACUGCAAAUUAACCAGUGAAACUUACCCUAACCUCAGAAGUUGGAGUUGCCAGUUGGUGAUUCUCCUCCUUUGUUUUGUUGUAUCUUUCAAUCACCGACUUCAUGCUGUCAAAGUAAAUAUAUUCAGAAUUGUCUACGUUGUACUGAUUGAGCAAAAAUUUUGGAUGUAUCACAAAGUUGUUCUGUUUGUUUCUAGUCUAGCCUCUACAUACAUAAUAGUUAAAUUGUGUGGACUUCCCUUGUCAAAAAAAAUUGUGUCGUCUCCAUACUAGGUCAUUGUAAUUAAAUACUUUUUUAUCUAAUAAGAAAGGACUCGAAUAAAACAGGGCAGAAAACAUCUUUUGCAGCCUCUUAUUAACACGAUGGCUGCAGUUCUGGUAUUUUAUUUUCUCUCUUUGGUUUUCAGUUGAAUGGAGUCGAGAGUGAUGGCACGCAAAACCUUUACAAAGUGAAUGGUACUGUCUUGAAGGUAGGUCUCUGAAGUUUGUUUGGCUCCUUUUACUCUAAUUUCAUGUACCAAUCAUCAAGGUAUGGAUUAACUCGUUAGUUGUGGGUGUUCCCUUCAUGCUUAGUAUUAGAAGCCAAACAAGGGGGGGGGGGGGGGGGGAAGGAAUAUCGAACACGAUCUAAUGAGCGUAAGAAAGCUUGUUAUCUUGAACACCAAGUUAUUUCUGUAGGCAUUCUCUGUGCUGCUUCUAAAUUCUAUACUAGUUAUUGAAUGUUGAUUGAGUGAUAAGGAAUUGUCUAAACAUACAACCUGAAUUCAGAUAAAGAAUAUAACAUGGGGAUAUUUCAGAAUGAUAACCCAAAUGCAUGAGGAAGAGAAUUUCCUAAAACAUAACUAGCAUAAUGUAAAUGCAUGCAAGAGAUGCAUAAUGAUAACUGCAACUGUAGUUAAGGAACUAUCUGUAGGUUUUUGGGUGAAAUAAGGUAAGUUUUAGGAUCCCGGAUAUGAUAAAAAGAAAAGAGGUUCAGUCUCUCGGGUCAAACUUUCCUUGCCUUUCUCUUCUGUUUAACAUAUCUUUAUUUCUGUUUCUGACUCCUUUUCUGUUUGUCUGUCUGUCUGAUGGAGUAUUUCUGAAUCAUUCAUGACAUUGAAAGCAAUUGUUUAGUGGUAGAAUGGUAGUAAUAGAUAAAAUAAUUCUAACAACAACAACACAUCGGCAGUAGUAAUUUCUCAGCCAGUAUGGUAGUGGGGUGUUAUGGUAUACUUCAUGAGUAGUUUUAGUGACUCAAUGAGAAAUGCUUAAUGAAAUCAUGAUAAAGAUAUGUUUAGGCUAGAAUAGAAAUGCUGGCAAUCAGAAGAUAGCACGAAAUGAUUGGAACAACAAAUUUAUUGGGCCAUUUGCAAUCAGAAGAUAACACGGCUUCUGAAGUCUGAUUCGCACUAUAACAUGCAAUGCAUCCCCUUCCUCUCUAUGUAUGUCAUAGGGUCUUUCAUUUGAUUUUGUCAGUAACAUGCUUGAUGUUAUCAAAACCAGAAGCGCAGCGAAAAAGGAACACAUUCAUGCAUGAGACAAAGAAUUGCUUGAUGUUCCAGAAUAAUAGUAAGAACAAGAUACUAGAAUAGAUGUCAUUUGAGAAAGGAGUGAUGUGAAAAACUUAAGCAUAUAUAUCUCAUUCUGGAGUCCUAACGGAAAAAGCGAUCGUCAUCUAGAGUUCUUCAUUCAUGUAACUGCUGGUGUAACUAGUUCUAUUAGCAGAAAGCAGCACCAGAAAAUAGUAUCAUUUGUUGAGAUACCAGACUUCGUAAUACAUGCCUUUGUCACCCUUGUAGCAGAGUUCUAACAUCGUCUGUAUUUCUGCUGGUUUCCACUUUUCAAUGUUCCUCCUAUAUUUUCUUGUGCAAUAUAUUCAGACCCGUCUCCCACUGUUACAUUAUAUGAUUAAAUGAGGAAUCUACCAUGAUUAUAAGUUGAGCUAUAUGGUGUGACUGCUAUUCAGAUAGUGUUCCAGUCAAGUUCUCAUAAUAAUUUUGUGGUUAAAGAUGUUUUUUUUUGGUAAUUAAACAUUUAUUAAUCACCAAGGAAGAUCCGUACAAAGCCAUAGUUAGUUAAACUCGACUAUCUAAAAACAAGAAACUAUCAAUUCCUCUAUCUACCAUCCUAGGAAAUUUAAAACGAACAAGAUUGAAAAUAACUCCUAGUUCUAACAGGGGAUCUAGCACAACAUGUAUAAGCUAUCUCUUUUGCAAUGGUGACCCAAUCUUUUUACUCUUCUGUUCAAAGAUCCUUUGGUUCCUUUCUAUCCAUAUUUCUAUAUAUAGCAACUUGAAAAUCUGGGCAGUUGGUGAUUUUCCUUGGCAUUCUCAAUAGUCCACUGUUGAUAUUGCAUCCAUGCAGUUGGAAAAGUUGUAUUCUUCUUCCCCCAUAGCAGUACCUUGUCCCAUAUCUUCCUUGAGAGUCUACAUUGGACAAAGAGAUGUUCAUUUGUCUCAUUGUGUUCUUGGCAUUGGCUACACUUUAGUUCCACAUUGAGUCCCCAUUUUACUAGCCUAUCCGCAGUGAGUAAUCUUUCAUGCAAGUGAAGCCACAUGGUAAAAUGUGCUCUAGGUCUAGCAUCCCUUCUCCACGCUCUAGGUCUAGCAUCAUUGGAGAACAUUAGGCAUUUCCAUGGUAUUCUUGGUAGGUCUCCUAGGUAGUGUUGUCAAAAGCGCACUUAAGCCCUGGAGCGAGGCUCAAAAUAUGUUGAACGCUUCGCCUCGCUUUGUGAGCGCUUUAGUGUUGCAUCAAGGCUCUAUGGCAUACUUUCUCUUGCCAAUUAAUGUAAUCCUGAAAAGGCGAUAUUGAACAAUUGAUAUUUCGCUUUAUCGUAAUUCAAUUUCUUUGUCCAUAUUUUUGUUAUUCAUGUUUGUAAUUAUUAGUCUUAGACUACAUAUACAUAUUUUUACUUUUUCUCCAGUUGCGCCUUUUUUCAUUAAAAACCAUGCUUUAUUUGCGCUUUGCGUUUAAAGCACCAAUGGAUCUUAAGAGCUUUUUUGUGCUUUUCGCCUUUGAUAACACUGCUCCUAAGAGCUGCAAAUAAGUCUGCUUAAUCAAGCUUUUCCCUGGUGCAGGUUGGUCCAGUAGUUGCAUCAUGGUAGUUCUUGCAUCAAAGAUCCUCCUAACCAUCCAACAUGCACAUUGUGGCACCUUCACGAUAGCAAAUUGCUGCCCCUUGAUGUAAUAGCUAUGAAUCCAUCCAUAACCUGUCAGUUUUAUGUGCUAAGUCCCAACAGGUUUUCAAUACUGCUGCUCUAUUCCAUAGCCUUAAGUUCAUGAGGUUGAGUCCACCUGCAGAUUUAGGGGAGCAAACCAUUUCCCAUGCAACCAAAGCCUUCUUACUUAUUGUGUUGACUCCUGACCAAACAUAACUACGACAGUAUGCAUCUAUGAUACCCAAUUUCUUGGCAAGGAUCAUGAAGAGUUGAGGUCAAUAGGCUUGGAUGCCAAAUAUGACUGAUUUGACCAGUAUCCUCCCAGCAUAGGACAAUUUUCUAGUAGUCCAUGAGGAGAUUCUUUUUUUUUUUUUUGAGAAGGUAACAUAAUUGUAUAUUAAUAUAAGACUUCACUAAAAUUGUGAAGUCACCCAUAAUUACAAAGAAAGUGCCCUAGCAAAAAUAAAAGACACUUUAAAUCCUUGGUCUUCUUACAAGGAUUCUAGUACAUCUAAAAUGGAUUCAAGAUCCUCCAAAAACUUCCCUUUACGCCAAAAAUGUCCUAUGCUGGGAGAUUCUUUUAACUAUCUUUUGUACAAGAGGCUGCCAUUGUGUUGUGGUCAACUUCUUAAUUGACAAAGGUAUGCCCAUGUAUUUGAAUGGUAGAUUCCCAUAGGUGUAUCCCAGCCGCUGCAAUUUUUAAUCCUUUUCUUCCUGUAUCACUCCUCCACAAUAUAAUGAACUUUUGCCUAGGUUAGCUUGUAAGCCUGAGGCAGAGGAAAAUUGAUGAAAGCACUGUUGAAGGUGAUAUAUAGACCCCACAUCUCCAUGAGCAAAGAGUAAGAGGUCAUCUGCAAAGGACAGAUGUGUAAUCCCCAGCUUAGCACAUUUGGGGUGAAAUCUGAAGGCCUUCUUAUCUUUCAAAUUGUUCAAUUGUCUGCUAAGAUAUUCCAUUGCUAUGGCAAAAAAGGAAAGGGGACACUGGAUCCUCUUGUCUCAGGUCCCUUGCAGCAUCAAAUGGUUCAAUUGGCUCACCAUUGAUCAAGAUAGAGUAGUUGACUGUUCUAAGGCAUUCCAUAAUUCAUUCAAUGAAUUUCCUGAGAAAAGCUAAUUCCUCGAAAAGCUGUUCUAGAUAGCACCAUUCAACUAUGUCAUAAGCUUUUUGUAGAUCAAUCUUGAUCAGACACCUAGGAGACACAUGCUUCCUAGCGUAAGCCUGUACUAGCUCAUGAGCCAAGAUGAUGUUAUCUGCUAUUUUCCUUCCUAGUAUGAAGCCUGCUUGUGCUUCACAGAUAAUGUCAGGUAUCACCUUUUGUAAUUUUGAUGCUAAGAUUUUUUAGAUAAUUUUAUAUAGAACAGUGCAGCAUGCAAUUGGUCUAUAUUAUUUCACUGUGAGAGGAUUCUCAGACUUAGGGAUCAAUGUGAGUUUAGUGCAAUUACGAGCUCUGUAUAGCUUUCCUGUUGUAAAGAAUGCUAAAACAUCAAGGUUCACUUCUUCCUUGAUUAUAUGCUAGGUCUUUUUAAAAAAGAUCGUAUUUUACCCAUCAACUCCAAGUGCCUUGUCAUCUCCGAGCAUAGGCUAUCAUAAAUCUCAACAGUGUUAACAGCCUCCCACAAUGCCAAUUGUUGUUGAUGAUUUAACUUUGGUCCUUUCUGCAUGAUCAACCUGUUUAUAGCUGUAGUUCCUUGGCUGAGGUCCCCAUGAGGCUUUUAUAAAAAGUGAUGAUUUCCUCUAUUAUACCCUUUAGAUCAGUGAUCUUAUUUCCUGCUAUUGUAUUGAGUUCCAUUAUUUGUUUCCUGACUGUUUUCUCCUUGAUUACUGUUGUGAAGUACUUGGUGUUGGAAUCACCCAAUUUGAUCCAUCUAAUUAGAUUUCUGUCUCAUCACAUUCUCCUCUAUUAAAGACCACUUUUCCAAGGCUUGAGUUGUCUUUUCUCCAGUAUCACCAGCUCAUCUGUAUACUGCUGAGUUAUUUGCUCCUGUACAAGCUUCAGCUGUUGUUUAGUGAUGUGAAUCUUUUGUGAGAUGUAGCUAAAUUCUUCUUUAUUGAGCUUCUUGCACAAAGGUUUCAAGGCCUUCAGCUUCAUCCAUAUAUUCUUCACGGGGUUGUUAUCCAACUGUUUUUGCCACACCUCCUCGACUAGUGAUUCAAACUGGCUAUGUUCAGUCCAAGUGCUAAAGACCUGAAAGAGUAUUGGGUGAUUUGGAUGCAGAUUUCAGGUGUAGUAACAUUGGAGAAUGAUCAGAAAUGAGUGGAAUAUCAUAUUCUGAAGAAAUGAGUGGAAUAUCAUAUUUUACUUUGAUAUAGCCCCAACACAUCAUCCAAAUCUCCGUUACCCAAGGCUCUAUCAGUUCUACUACAUACUCUGUCAUUACCCUGUUACUUGUUUGACCAUGUAUAAUACUGUCCACUCCAGUGUAGCUCAUUAAGGCCUAGGUUGAGUAUACAAUCUUCAAAGUCUUUGAUCUUAGAGGCACUGAUAGGGCUGCCUCCUAAUCUGUCUAUGGGAUACAAUACAGCAUUAAAGUCCCACCCACCAACCAAGGGAGGUUGAUUGAAGGGCCCAAUGUAGUCAAUGCAGCCCAUGAGGAUAACCUGCUCCACAGUGUUAAAACCAUAGAUAAUCGUCACCAGUUGUUCAGUUGCAGUAGUUCUAUCUGUAACUUUACAGUGGAUCAUUUGGGCUGCUACAACUAACAGGUUCACGUAAAACCUGUUAUCAUCCCAGAUUAGCCAUAUUCUUCCAUUGUCUGCUUCCUAAUAGUUAUUGUGAAAUCCCCAGCCAUGAGCAAUGUUUUUAAGUAUCUUCAUAGCAUUGUGUUGCUUGGUUCUUGUCUCCACUAAUCCUGCUAAGUUGAUUUUGCCAGUUCUGGGGUAGUUCCUUAGUUUCUUUUGCUUAUACCUCUUAUUAAUGCCCCUCACAUUCCAGAUACACCAAGUUAUUGAGAGGUAUUUGGACCCUUCCCUUUAUCAGGAGGCAUUAUGUCUUCACUUCUCUGUUAUCUCAAAGGUGUUUAUGAGUGGAGUAGUCCCCAGUAAAAGAAAGUUAUUGUAGUGGAGGGCUUUGGAGGGCUUUGUGGCGUUGGGGCCUUUCCUUUACUCUUUGUAGUUACAGUCACUUGAUCCUCUUUGGUUGUUUGAGCACUUUCAUCUUGCAGGAUAACAGGCUGCUGCUGAGUAUGCACCAUUAAAUCAACUUGUGGUUGCACACUGUUGCCUUGUAUUCCUUGGGCUUGCUGCUGUUGCAUCUGCACAUUUCCUUCAGUAGGUUUAUCACUUGGAUUCUUAGUUCUCCAUACCUGUUCCACUCUUUUUGGACCUCUCCUCUUUCUCUGAACUUCUGGUGGUUGCUGGCCAGUUUGUGAUUGGGUUUUACAUGAGUGGCCUACUUGGAGACACUGAUCACAAACUCAGGGUUUCAGUCAUAAGUUACUCUCUGUUGGAUAACCUCCCUAUUUGGCUCCAUCACAGCCACCUCUUCAGGGAGUGCCUUCGUGGCAUUCACCUCUAUCAGCAUCCUAGCAAAUGAAAUUCGUGUUUGUUUGGAGGUGCACUCAUCUGCAUAUAUUGGAGUACCAAUGAGACUUGCAAUUCUACUAAGAGAAUCACUGCUCCAACAUCUCAUAGGAAGCUUUGGAAAUUUGACGUUGUUAAUGGUAUAGGGCCCUGCAUAGAAUAUUUCCUUCAUGUCCUGUACACUGUGGAAUUUCACCACAUAGUAGCCCUCCUCAUGUAGAAACAAGUAAGGUGUAGCAACACUCGGACCAAUUUUUCCUUAUGUAUCGGCUUAUCACAUUGAAACCAGGCACCUCUCCUAACACAUAAACAAUAAGAGCACUCGUCCACUUCUCAGCUUCCUUGUGCAGUUGACUACAGAACCUGCCCUUUACCGUCGUUGCUAAAGCAAACAGCCAAAGCUUUCCUGUUGAUUUCACAAGCAGCCGAUUUUUCAUGCUUUGGUCUCAUUAUCUCACCUAGUGGGACCGCCCAUCUACCUCGGCUGCCUUGUCUUCUUCAGUUGGAACAUAACCCAGCCUAUAAGUUGCCUUGUGAUUCACAAAGUUUGGUGACCCAUGUUCCUUAUUAACUUCAGAUUUAACUAGUUGAGCCAUGGGUUGUCCGUUCACUAUCUUAGGUGGAAUGUAAGAAAGAGACAUACCAUUAGUAGCACAUCUAUUUCUAGCAAAUAGGCUUGUCCAUGGUGCCUUCGCUGGAGCAUUCUCUUCAGGACUUGUGCUUGUUCUUUCCAAAUCCAUGGGCUUCUCGCUAUGAUUGCCUGAAAUUGGUCUCCUCUGAGUUGUUGCUUCCAUCAAAGUCCCCACCGAAGAACUCACUCCCACUGGGGUUACUGUUCCAUUGGAUUUCUCCAUUAGGGUUACAGCGCUCGUGGUCAAUUCCUUUGGUUUUGCUGCUGCAUUUUCCCUUAGAUCUAAUUGCGUGCUAAUUUCUCUUGUUAACAUGUCAAUCGCAUCUCGUCCGGUGCUUGCAUGGUCAAAAUGGUCCUCUGUAAUUUGUGCUUUUGCUUUGGAGGUUUCAGGCUGCAUCCUUGCACCAACUGUGCUUCCAAACGAAACAAUUGGCACUUUUUUUUGUCAUCCCCUUCGCCGUCCUCUGCCUCGUCCAGGCCCCAUGGUAUUCACAGUGGCGUAGGUUAACUACCAUGCGCCGGGAGCAUGGUGAGAGAGAAGAGAAGGUUAAAGAUGUUUUUACGCCAUAGCAUAUUCAAUCCAUUGCAAAAGUGGUUGUGAUCAAUGUAAGAUUCUAUGCAAGUUCACAAACAUCACUAUUCUAACAAGGCUCUUCCAUAUAUAUCUAUACUGAAGAACAACUUCCGUUCCUAUACAAGUAUAAAGGCACAUCAAACUUCUGAAGUCUUGAAAGUUUAACAAACAGAGAUUUUUCUGUCUAAUUCGAAAUGAAGGGAAUUGGAUCCUAUCAAUAUUGAAGUGUCCUCUUGCUUCCCUAGUUAGCUCUAGUUUUACAUUUUCACAUAUUCCUCAACUUUCCCAACUUACUGCGAUUGAACUACAUUGAUCUACUCCUCCCAAAUUACAUAGUCUUCAAUCAAUCACCAAAGUUGAAAGGGAGAGAAAUACUUUCUCCUGUUGAAAUCAGACCAAUUUUGAAUGUCAAACAAAGUUGAGCAAGGUAACUGAUACUUACCCAUCAUCCCUGGACAAAAUUCAUCAAACUAAAUUGAUUAUUGUUAUGAAGUACAUUUUGUUUUAGCUCAAAAUAUGACCUUCCCUUAAACAAAGGUAGUCCUGUUAUACAUCCUUAAACAAAGGUAAUCUUGUUAAAAAUCUUGACAACUGUUAGAUAAGAUUCUAGUGGAAUGCACAAAAGGUUUUCAUUGCCCUAUUAUCAGGAGGCAGUAUCGCCCUUCAUGCCCUCGGUAAUUGGCAUAAAUAAACUUUUAUCCAUGGCACAAACUUCUACAUUAUUCUAGCAUUAUUCAUGAUUGCAGGUAAGCUCGACCAGCUGGGGAGAACCUUGGAUGAAUGCAAACUACAAGGAACAAAACAAGGCGGCAGAUCAACUAACAAAGGGUUGAUAAAUCCAGCCAUUUUUAGCAAAUUUAUUUUGUUAUAUUGUGUAUUUAUUCUUUUCAUUUAGAGUAUAUGUUUAGCUGUUUUAUUGUUCUAUCUUCAAUAUGUUGGGUCAAGUCCAAUAACGACACUAUAUAACAAUGUGUAAACAAUUAAUAGUUUAUCUAAUUUACGU
rnacentral:lncRNA from 1 species